GCGGAGGUCCACCCCCAACAGAUAUAAAAGAUUGGGAGAAAAAGAUCAUUGGAAUAAUGUCCAAUACUGUGGUCUCUGGCAUUGCAGGGGGGUGCGACAGUCUUGUUUCAGACAGUGAAUGUGCUGUAUUUCCAAUCCGGUCAGCUUCAUUCCUGUGCACAGAGGCAGUUACAAGCUUAGAAGCAUGCAAUCCAGAACAAGAACAUCCGCAGAAGCAGUUUGACACAG